rnacentral:tRNA from 1 species
GGUACGGUGGCUGAGUAGUUAAGGCGAUAGUUUAGAAAGCUAUUGGAGAAAUCCGCGCAGGUGCGAAUCCUGUCCGUAUCA